GUAACAAGGUCUCCGUAGGUGAACCUGCGGAG
rnacentral:rRNA from 1 species